UGCGGGCCGUGGCCGGGCGGGAAAUGUCAGGCUGUCCUCGCGCAGCUCCCUGGACUCAGCGGGUCCGUGGUGGGGUCGGCGACCCGGGCGGGAGAGGCGAUGGCGCCGGCUGUCUCGAAGCUGCGGGCCGAGGCCGGGUUCGGGGCGCUCCCGCGGCGGGCGCUUGCCCAGUACCUGCUCCUCCUGCGUCUCUACCCGGUGCUCACCAAGGCGGCCACCAGUGGUUCAUUGUCGGCACUUGGGAACUUCCUGGCCCAGAUGAUUGAGAAGAAGCGGAAAAAAGAAAACUGCUCUCAAAAUCUAGAUGUCAGUGGGCCUCUCAGAUAUGCCAUUUAUGGGUUCUUCUUCACAGGGCCGCUGAGUCACUUCUUCUACCUCUUCAUGGAACACUGGAUCCCCUCUGACGUCCCCUUGGCAGGAGUCAAGAGGCUCCUUCUGGAUCGCCUCAUCUUUGCCCCAGCCUUCCUGUUGUUGUUCUUCUUCAUCAUGAACUUUCUAGAGGUGGGUCUCUGCCGUGGUCCCUACUAUAGCUCUUCGUUUAGGAGGGAGACUCUUGUUAGUCUGUAUCUUGAAAUAUCACUUAUGUUCAUCACUACUUGGAGAUUUUCAGUAGUUACUGGAUCUGCCAUUAGAUUUUAUCACUUAAGGUAAAGAAGCACAUAUACUAAAAACCCAUUUCCAGCAAGUUGAUUCAGACUCGCAGUGACCCUAUGGCCCUAGAGAAGCAGAACUGCCCCACAGGGUUUCCAAGGAGUGGCUGGUGGAUUCAAACUGCUGACCUUUUCGUUAGCAGCUGUAGCUCUUAACCACUGUGCCACCAGGGCUCCUCAUGUACUAACCUGUUGCCAUCGAGUUGAUUCAGACUGAUAGAUAACUGAUAUAAUCAGUUUCCUUUGUAAUCCCAUACAUGACAAAUCAUUCUGAGAGGAGUCCACAGGCUUUACCGGAGUGCCAAGGAGAUUCGUGACACAAAAAGUUCAAGAACUUCGAAUGAUACUUCAGAGCCUGUGCUAACAGUGCCUGGAACACUGCAAGUGCUCUGGAGAGGCUAACUUAGUCACAUAAACUUAGAAUCUGAAUCAACUUGCAUGGGAGGUGUGUCCAUGUAUAACACCCCGCAUGUCUGUUCUCUGAAACGUGUCCUAUACAAGUCUCCCUUCCUAGUUUACAGUCUUCAUCUGAGAGAAAGGGGGUUGGGUUGUACUGUAUGUCUGAGAUGUGUCACGUUCUACCCUGAAAGUAAUUUGUUCAACCGAUCACACCAGGUAAAUGCCUCUCCCUUAGGUUUUAUUUGGAAACAGUAUCUCCAGUUCUUGUUGUGAAGGACACCCGUUGUUUUCUAAAGUGACCCUGGGAAGAAUUAGGAAAGAUGUUGAAACUUUGAUUACUGUUAAGUAAAAAGAAAUGUUUGGGAAGUUCUUAGCAAAUCUGAGGUAGGAAGUCAAGGGAACCACACAGGAGAAGUGUGGGGGCCAAAAAGAAGAAGUGCGUAUAUGUUUACAUAUAAAUACAUACAUGUAUAUGUCUUGGAAGAAGUAGAGCCAGGAUGAUGUGAUUUCAUCUCCUGUACUUUGGACGUGUUAUCAGGACAUCUUGCUUGGUGAAGUAGAGGGUCAGUGAAAAAGAGGAAGACCCUGAACAAGAUGGAUUGACACAGUUACUGCAACAAUUGGCUCAAACAUAGCAGUGACUGUGAGGAUGGCACAGGACUGGGCAGUGUUUCAUUCAGUUGUAAACAGGGUUGGGUCGCUAUGAGUUGGAACCAACCACACAGCACCUAUCACCACCACUAGCAAUGUGUCUGCAUCCUGUAAUUUUUCAUCAUAGACGUGUUCUAGGCUGCACAGCAUCCCAUUGUUUUAUGCCUGUAUGUAUUGUGUAAGGUCCUUGUUUAAUUCCUAGAAUUGUUCUCCAAAGAUUGUACUCGUUUUUGCUCACACCAAACCAAAAAACCAAACCAGUUUCCAUCGAGUUAAUUCUGACUCAUAGUGGACCUAUAGGACAAAGUAGAACUGCCCGUAGAGUUCCCGAGGAGCACCUAGUGGAUUCGAACUGCCAGCCUCUUGGUUAGCAGCUGUAGCACUUACCCAUUAUGCCACCCAGGUUUCCUGUGGUCACAGCAGUGGUAUAUAAUGGUAACAGCUAACAUUUAUUGAGCACUUGUGUUGUUCCAAACUCUGCACUGAGCACGCAUUAAAUCCUCACAACACUGUGGUCUAAUUCCUCCAGUGAGGUUUACUUCCCCACAUUCUUGACCCGUGAUAUUAUUUUUGUUUUAAAUAAUUUGUGAUUUAAUAGGUGAAAAAUAUCUUAAUUUAUGUAUCUUUAUUUAUGAGGUUGAACACCUUUUAUACGUUUAUCUGCUAUUUGUAUUUCUUCUGUGAACUUCGCUUAUUUUCUGUUGGAGUGUUUACUUUUUUCUUACUGAUUUGUAAGAGUCCUUUCUAUAUUAAGGAUAUCAAUGCUUUGCCAAAAACAGGUCACAAAUAUUUCCCUAUUUUACUUUACCUUUUAACUUCAUAUAAAUCAUUUACAUAAAGUUAAAAAGUUAAAGUUAUGUAAAUAAAACCAUUUAUAGUUUCUUUCUCUGUACAGAAGUUUUUAAAUUUCAGGCACUCAGAUCCGUCAGUUGUUUUUUGUGGGCCUCCUUAAAGGAGGAGAAUGGAAAUAAGCUCCUAUACUCUCUUUUACUCUUAUGGUUUUAUUUUGCCCAUCUUGAUAUACCCAAAGAUAAUAGAAAUAUUAUAUUUCCUAUACUUUCCUCUAAAAUCCUUAUGGUUUAUUUUUUGUUUACAGUGGGAAGGUCUGUCUUGAUUUUUUUCCACUUAGCCAAUUGUCUUCUUACUAUUUAUUUAGCAAUCUCAGUGUUUUAGAAUGCUGACUUUAUCAUAUUCUCAUUCCCAUAUGUACAGAUCUGUUCUUUUGCUAAAGUCUAUUAAUUUCCAUUGAUAUACCUUUUUUCCCCCGUCACUACCAGACCAUUUUAAUUACGAUCAUUUUAUGGUGUUUUUUGUUAUCAAGUAAGGUAGGCCUUUCUUUUUCAAAAUGGCUAUUCCUGUGCAUUUAUUCUUCCGGAUGACAUUUAAGAAUCAAUAUAUCAAGGUCUGUUUUUUUUUACAGUCCUGACAAGUUUUGAUUAGAAAUGCAUUAACUUCAGAGAUUAAUUUGGAAAGAAUUGACAACUCAGCUCCUAGCAGAUUUGGUGCCAGGGCCAGCAGCGUGAAUCUCAUCAUCAGAUGAGCUGUGUAAAGCAGUGAUGAGGGCCACUGACAAUCGCUACCCACAGGGUGAGCAGCCUGCUGCCUCCCUGUUCUAACUAAUGAUUUUGCCAACUAGUUUGUUAGCUCCUUAUAUCUGCACUGCUCAUAAAGUAUAUGUCUGCAUCACCUGCUUGUAAGUCAAACAAAAUAAAAUGCUACAGUUUAGUUUUCUGAUCAUUGUGCUAGGGUUUGGGGGCCUCCAGAUUUUGGUACCCUGGCUUACAGUUCUGAUCAGCAGAGGGGAUCGCCCACCAUGUGUUAUUUUCCAUUGUUUCUAGAGAAAAGAUAUGGCUGCCUUUUCUGCUAAGAUGAGAAGAGGUUUCUGGCCAUCGCUGCAGAUGAACUGGAAAGUCUGGACACCACUCCAGUUCAUUAACAUCAACUACGUCCCUCUGCAGUGCCACCCCUAAAGAGCCAGGCAGGAUGGGAUUCCAAGCCUAAGCAGAGAUGUGCUUUAGACAGAGGACGCCUUCUUCCAUAGGACAAGAGAGAGAAGGUAACUCUAAGUGGGGUGGUGGGAAGGUGAGUGGGGGAUCUCCCACUUCCCAGCGGCCUGUCUGACUCACAUGUGUUCUCUUUGGCAGUUCCGGGUGCUUUUUGCCAACCUGGUGGCUCUGUUCUGGUAUGCCUACCUGGCCUCCCUGGGCAAGUGAAGAUGGCCUGGGGAGAACAUCAGAAGCACUACAGAUGUAGGUCUGGGGAGGCAUGCUCUCCCACCUGGUGUUGAGGGCAGAAUCGAAACUCAGGAAUUUAUGACUUUAAAUCAUAUGACCCAAGAUGCACUAAAAUCAUGAAUAAGUAGAAAUCUCUUAAUGUUGGAAUCAUGUGUUUUAAAACAACGCAAUAGCUGACUCUAAAUGGUGCUGCCUUUGAAACAUAAAAUACCGUAGAGAUGAUUUCAAUAAUCACCUUGGACUGAAUCAGGAUCACAAUAAACUGUAAUGUAGCUUCUUAAGUGGUCAUUCUACUUUCUCAGAACGGUGGUUGUAACUUUGGAAGAAAUGUGUGGUCAGAGGGCUGCUCUCAAAUUUCAAAAGAACUGCUUUUUCAUUUCAGAAUACAUGGGGAUGGGAUGGGGUAGUUCCCAGAAGGAGACAUUUAGAGCAUAUGGAAAAGUAACCAAUGUCUCCUACAAACAAUGUGGGUGACGACU